ACGACAUGGGUGGAUGUGGACCCAACCCAAUUCAGAGGAGCCAGAAGCGGGGGUGUUGUAGGUGAAGAGCCUUCACUCGCGAGACACACUCGAACUCCUCAACACAUGAGGUCACGUACGUGAGGUAUGGCGAGACGAGCACGUGGCGAUGGUGCUUCAGGAGGCGGAGUGUGAAGUUGCGCCUCUCCUUAAGCUAGUCCUGCAUAGUGUCCAUGUGGUGCAUCUAGACGAUGCGGUGGCCGCGGAAGGCGUCGUGGACGGUGUGGUUCAACCCAACGGUGAAGGAGAUGCGGUUCAAUGACAGCAAGCGAGAGAGAGUUAAUCGGCGGCACGCGACAAUGAGGGAGUAGUUCACGGCGUUGAGGUAAAGGUCCUUGAGGUCAACGCCGCAGUAGUCAUUGAACUCAAGAAUCUCGAAAUAUGAAUACAGAGAAAGUAGAUCUUGCAGAGAUUCGUAUAGAGAAUGAGACAAUGAGAGAAGCUGCAAUGGAAGAGCGUUAUGGAGAACGACUUCAAUCAUUUCACCGGAUUCAACCGCUCGCCAUCACACUGUCUAGGAACCGCAACCGCAAUGCAUUUCAGAAUUAUUUUCUUUUUUAAUUUUUUUUUGUAUAAGCAUGUUUUUUGAUCUGUUUUUCUAUGUUAGAUUUGGAGGAGAAGAUUGGCGGCGACAUUGGCGAUUUUUAAGAAGCGAUGUUUGGCAAUCCGAAGUUUGCAACAGAUUCUGAAACCUCGCUCUCACUGGAAACUCGCCAAUUUUUAAGUUCACAUGUGCUCCUCGCUGCGUAUUUCCUUAAUAUAUUCUUGUUCUUGUUGUACAUGCAAUUUGCUUUUAUUUAUCGCUUAGAGAAAAAAUUACACACACACAUGUAAAAUAAAAAAUAAGCUGGAGAAUUCUCAAUGAUCUGGGUUUUUUUUCCUAUUUUAUUGGGUUUUUGUGCUUCUGAGAUGUUGGUAUUCUUUAACUUCUGCCAAGAGUAGUUUUUUGUGAUUUUGGCUCCAACUUUAUAGUAUAUUUUAAAGGUUGGAGUUAUGCGAGUGACCAAAAGAUGUUUCAAUUGGCAGAGGGGGAAGAACAAGUCUGACUUUUUAGCUUUUUUUUUGGUGCGUUAGUUUUUAUGGUUUCAUGUUGGCAAUGGAGAAAGAUGGACCUCUAGUUUUUUAUCUUUGCAUUUACUACUGUAAUCUAAAGUUCUAUAACAUAUAAGUAAGACUUUUGUUGUAUGAUUGACAUUAUCAUGGCCUUAAGAACUUUACAAAGUCUGUCCAGGAACUCAUUACCCGAUUGUAGAAGAUUGAUGGUGAUAAUUACCCUGAGGUGUGUUGUCUUGUUCCCUGAAACUGCUUGAUGCUUCUUUGGAAACUUUACUCAGGUUGUUGGAAACAAGUAUCAAAGCAAAUUGCUUAUAGUUAUGGAUGCCAGUUUUUGGUUUGCCCUAUUAUUCUGCUUAUGCUUCGAAAUUAUUGAUCACAAGCAGAGCCUUGAUUCCUAUGGAACAAAAUGUUAGAAGUGCUCAUAGAUAACAAGCUUGAACCAUACUUGCUCCCUGUAGUCCCUGAAGAGGGAAGGGAAGAUAACAUACGUUGAAGACAUAGCUAAGGGUCUUAAGAACGAUCCAGCUACACCAGAAGCAAUGUUCAAAGGCCGUAGUGCUGGCAAACAAGAACGGUCCCAGAGAACUGUUGAAAGAGUUCAUCUUCUGAAAGUCCUAGAGACACGUAAGUCAGCAUUGCAGAAAAGCAAGGCAUGGCAUUUGCUCGUGCUGUUACUGCUGGUUUUGAAAUUGACUAUAUAUCGCCUUUGAUGUCAUUUGCUGAAUGCUUUGGUGCAUCUCGCAUGAAGGAUGCACGCACAAAAUUCAGGAAUCUUUGGAGAAGAAAACAUGAAACUGGAUAAUGGCUUGAAAUUGAAGCUGCUGAAACGGUGUCCAAUCGCUCAGACUUGGAGAUGGAAGAAAUUAAUGAUUCUGAGCAGCUUGAUCAAAUUCUUGUUCAUGCCUAGCAAAAGUCACAGCCUAUCCUCAUUGAUUGGUUUUGAUGGUUGUUUUUUGAAUCCAAAAACCAAGUGAAAAGAAAGGGCAAAAUGAUCAUUUUUCCUAGAUUUCAGGCAUCCAUUCGCCCAUGCUAGCAACUAGCUCGUUUGGGCUAAUCAAAUUUCUUCAGACUUAAGCAACCAACUCACUUGGGUGAGUUAUAGCUCGCUUGGGAGAAUUUAUGCCUUCAUCACUAAGUAACAAAUUUUCUUGGGCGAGCUACAGUUCGCCUGGCGAAUUUGUCUACACCUCUUGAAUUUUUUUCUAUAAAUAGCCAUGCAAAUGAAGAAGAAAGGGACAUCCAAAAGCAGAAAGAAAAUGUGAGAAGCUAAGGAAGUGAAGAAGAAAAUGGAAAAUGAAGCCCGGGCGCUACAAAGUUGUGACCAUGGAUCGCAUCCUUUGUCAUUUCUCUUGUUAGUCUUGUGUUCUAUGCAAUGAUCAGUUAGUUUUUCCAAAGGAUUGGAUGCAAUCUUUGUACCCUUAUGUAUCUCUUUUGAUAUUAUAUAUAUGUAUGAAUUUUUCUACUCAUUAUUGGUGAUUUCA